rnacentral:rRNA from 1 species
CUAGGAAUCUGCCUGGUAGUGGGGGACAACGUUUCGAAAGGAACGCUAAUACCGCAUACGUCCUACGGGAGAAAGCAGGGGACCUUCGGGCCUUGCGCUAUCAGAUGAGCCUAGGUCGGAUUACCUAGUUGGUGAGGUAAUGGCUCACCAAGGCGACGAUCCGUAACUGGUCUGAGAGGAUGAUCAGUCACACUGGAACUGAGACACGGUCCAGACUCCUACGGGAGGCAGCAGUGGGGAAUAUUGGACAAUGGGCGAAAGCCUGAUCCAGCCAUGCCGCGUGUGUGAAGAAGGUCUUCGGAUUGUAAAGCACUUUAAGUUGGGAGGAAGGGCAGUAAAUUAAUACUUUGCUGUUUUGACGUUACCGACAGAAUAAGCACCGGCUAACUCUGUGCCAGCAGCCGCGGUAAUACAGAGGGUGCAAGCGUUAAUCGGAAUUACUGGGCGUAAAGCGCGCGUAGGUGGUUCGUUAAGUUGGAUGUGAAAUCCCCGGGCUCAACCUGGGAACUGCAUCCAAAACUGGCGAGCUAGAGUAUGGUAGAGGGUGGUGGAAUUUCCUGUGUAGCGGUGAAAUGCGUAGAUAUAGGAAGGAACACCAGUGGCGAAGGCGACCACCUGGACUGAUACUGACACUGAGGUGCGAAAGC